GUUUGGAUUGGUUGGUGUUGCAUCUUGUGUCUAUAAAAUGAGCUGCUCGUAAUCCGUAAAUAAUCGUUUCCACGGCAGUUAUUUCCCCAAAAUGUAUUAUGUUAGCAAUGGAGAACUGCAAAUACGUUGCUACUGCUCUCAAUAACAUUGCUGCCCUGAAUGUAUCAGGCGCUAUCAACAAAGGUCCUGUGGGAAAAAGUUGUGAUGGACAACUUUCUGAACGACGAUCGUGCCAUGCAAUGCUGAUUCUCUCGUUUCAUGACAUGUUUUGAAAUAAGUGGAACACAACGGGCCAAACAAGCUGUGCAAACUAAACGGAAACAACACAGGAUGUCUGAUGAAAGUGUUUGCAGUCUGCCGUGAAGCUUUCAUCCAUGUAUACAGCAUUAAUCAGUAGAACAUGCCUGACUCUAAUCCACCAGUCAUACAGUCAUCAAAAAGAGAGCUGGCCCAAGCAAGCAAAGGCAGCACAGUCAUCAACUACACGCACCGUUUCUUCAACUACUACGGAGUUGGGGAAACACGUGUGGACCUGAAUUGUGAUAACUGCAAUGGCCAAAAUAAGAACAAGUGUGUGCUCUGGUAUUGUGCCUGGUGGACCAUGUACAAGCACCACCAAAGUCUGGACCUUCACUUCCUGAUCACAGGCCACACCAAGUUUGCCCCCGACUGGUGCUUCGGUCUCAUCAAGCAGCGCUACAGAAAGACCAGAGUGAACACUUUGUCUGAGAUUGCUGGUGUUGUGAAGGACAGCACUGUGACAGGGGUCAACAUCUCAAAGCUGGUUGGACUGGAGGUGAUAAGGUGCUGGUGGAAAGCUAUGGCUGGCAACAACACCUGACUCUGUACUUCAGGCUGCUGCCACAGAUCAAGCAGUACCAGCACUUCAGCUUCGAUGCUCUGCGCAGGUUUCAGCUGCUGCGCAACGCUGACAUCCUUCCUCCCAUAGAUGGUCUGCCUGUAAAAUCACCACCUGGACUGGACACAGCUAGACAAACUUAUGUUUUUGACAAGAUCAGGGAGUUUUGCAACGAAGGGGCUAUGGACAACACAUGCCCUGCGCCAAAGUCAAGGGCAGGACAGAAACAGGCUCUCCGACUAUAGAUUACCGUGUUCAUGCGUGGUUUGGACGGACCAGUCAUCAGCACUAUCUGCAGUGCCUCUAUUCACAUGACUCUCUUCUAAAACAAACGGCAUACGUUGCUGCAAUUUUCUCUCUAUCCAGCUCGGCCACUUUACCCCUGAUUGUAUGCAUAUCUAUGCAUAUCAUCUAUCACUGAUAUCAUUAUUGAUAUUGUUCUUGUACAAACUGUAUAUUUUAUUUAUUGACACUAUUUCUGAUAUUGCUACUAUGCAAGUAAUCAUUUGGCUGUACCGUUUACACCUCCUGUAGAGACCAUCUACUUAGCAAGACUUAGCAAAAUAUUGAUAAGUGGUCGUAACAAGAUUUUGUGACAUACCGCAACAAUAUCAUGUGACCGUAUCAAGUGUCCACCGCUUAAAUAUAUGGCGCAUGCAUCUGUUUAUAUAAUGUACAUGUGCACCUCACUCAGGUGUCAACUCAGGUUGCAUGGCCUUAACUUAUGUAUGGAAUACCAUGUGAUAAGUGAAUGUGUAAUAGUAUAAAAAGGAUGCUAAUGUCCUGGUGUGAAGGCAUUUGGGCAGUGAUGUAAAAAUACUUUAAAGUACUACUUAAGUUGUUUUUUGUGGUAUCUGUACAUUACUUUACUAUUUAUAAUUUGGAAACUUUUACUUUUCUACAUUCGUAAAGAAAAUAAUGUACUUUUUACUCCAUACAUUUUCCUUGACACCCAAAAGUACUUAUUACAUUUGGACAGGAAAAUUGUCCAAUUCUAACACUUAUCAAGAGAACAUCCCUGGGCAUCCAUAUUGCCUCUGAUCUGUCAGACUCACUAAACACAAAUGCUUUGUUUGUGAAUUAUGCUGGAGUGGGCCCCUGGCUAUCCAUCAAUAAACAAUAAUACAAU